GAAAGUCCUCUCUCUCUCUCGUCACAGACCAACUAUCACUUCUUUUGCAGCUCCUUCUCCUCCACAUCUUCCUUCUCCGCCUCCUCCCAUCCUUCCUCCUCUGCCUCCACCUGUACUUCCAUCGCUCACAUCUUGUCUCUCCUCUUACUCAUCUUCUUCCUCUGCCUCUUCCCACAAUGAACAUCUACUCUCAUUUACGCAUGCUAAGAGCGAAAUUAUAGGGUUUCUUUCUAUAAAUUGGCUCAAAUCUAGUGUAUCCAAUAGCUGUAGCUAAAGAUGAUCGCCGGUGAUGGCCUUCUAAGCACGACAUGUUGUGGGCAUCCCUUGUACAUGGAUUCUCCAUUAUUGGCCUUAUCGAUUUGAGGUUCUGUCUCUAAAGGGUGCGUACUUAAAUUGCAGAACGUGAUGGCCUCGAUCUCCUGCGACAAAGCUGUUUGGGACGCCAUCUUGAACAACAGGGCAGUUCAGGAUCUCCGGGGCUCAAUCUCUGCAGGAUGAGUCUUAGGACCAUAUAAAGAGGUAGCAACUUCAUGAACUAGCCAUGCUGAACUCAAAUUUUAGAGAAGAGAGUCCAGGACCAAGUGGCAGCGUGUCACGUUUCAAUACUAGUGGAAUGAAAUGUCCCAAAACUGGGCAUUGAAAUGUUGUAUCCGCUGCUUCAUUGAAGUACUUUCUCUUGACCUCUGAUCUGCAGAGUUAUGCCUGAACAUAUACAAUUCGUGACUAUCAACUCUCCUUACGGCUCAAUGCGCAGCUACCUAAGUGAAGAAUUGAUAUGAACAAACAAAGGGGUAUUUGGAGAUAUGUGUUUUGGCUGGAAUUUUUUUUUUGUUUUUAAGUUUCUAUUUAUUUACUGAAGAACAUAAAACAGAGACAGAAACAUGACGAGGCAGUUGAAGUAGGGGUGGAAACGGGAGAAGUAGAAAUUGGUUUAUACAGUUGGCCUCUUAAGUUAGGAUUUAUUUGUAACUGAUAGUUUUUAGCUUUUUGGUUUUUACAGUUGAAGCAUUUGAUCAAGUGUUUUUGUUACAUAUGUAGGAUUUAUUUGUAACUGAUUGUUUUCUUACCUUUUUUUCAUGAAAUAUUGCUUCUUGAUUUUGUAGUUAUUGUCACAUGAGUGAAAAAUUGCUUCAACUUUUCCUCUCUCA